UACGAAGGUCCCAAGCGUUAUCCGGAUUUAUUGGGCUUAAAGGGUGCGUAGGUGGGUUGGUAAGUCAGUGGUGAAAUCUCCAGGCUUAACUUGGAAACUGCCAUUGAUACUAUCAAUCUUGAAUACCGUGGAGGUCAGCGGAAUAUGUCAUGUAGCGGUGAAAUGCUUAGAUAUGACAUAGAACACCAAUUGCGAAGGCAGCUGGCUGCGCGAAUAUUGACACUGAUGCACGAAAGCGUGGGGAUCAAACAGG
rnacentral:rRNA from 1 species